rnacentral:lncRNA from 1 species
AUGUAUAAGAAUUUACCCAGGAAUCAAUUCAUAAAUACACGAUCAAAAGCACCACCAGUGCAACAAGACGAGAGCAAGAUACAAGUAUAAAACAUAUACAAGUACAUAAAGAGAGAAGAGGCUAUCUAUUACAUUCAUUUGACUUAAUACAUUCAAUUACAUCUUUCACAUUCUUCCGAAAUAUAGAUACACUCACUCCACCUCACCCUAUAUAACAUCUAAUCUCAAAUACAGAAAGGGUGAUGGCUAAUGCAAAAGGGAGGUAGCUAAUGCGAUUAAAGCGCCGGGCCCUUACAGCGAUCCUCGCGCUCACCGGGGACACCCGAACUCGAGCCUGUGGUAAAAAAAUGGGGGUGAGAACUAACUUCCUUAGUUCCCAGUGGGUUCGGCCGCCGACUCCGCCGAUCUCCCCACUAGGUCCAAGUCGGGCACAAGUAGAUAAUCGAUAGAUAGAUAGAUAAGGAAAGCGGUAAAUGACAGAAGUAAAGCUACUCUACUAUGCCCAAUCAUAAUUUAUGAAUGCAUGUACAAUGAAGUAGGUAAGCAACUAACCUGUUAUCAUGUCCAAAGGUGAAGCUAUUCACUCGUUCAUUAACCUCAUUUACUUGUCCAUUAAUCUCAUGGCUUACCCGAAGGCUCGCCUACAUCUCACUAGCCAUCUCGACACGUAGGGAGAAUUAACUCACACUACGGACCCGAGACCGUCUGGCGGGGCCAAAUAGGCAAUCCCUUGCGUGACCAACAUCCGGAGCGCACUACUUGUGUGGGGCUUCCAUCACAAGAUUUAGAAACAGACCGUGAGCAUGAUUCAAUCCUCGUCUCGAGAAUACCCUAUCCUCUAGGGUUACAAUCAUCAUAUAGUCCAUAGGUUUCGCAUACACUACAACUCAUAGGUAUCAUUGUUCUUUUGCUUACUAUUAACCAAAUGCCACUCGUUUAUUUGUUUACUAUCGACUAGAUGCCACUCGUUCUUUGUUCAUCAUUAGACCGACCGUUGAGCCCAUCACUUUCUCUGCACUAUAGGAUUCACAAUCUCGACCCAAUCCUUAUCAAUCCCCUAUAUCAAAUAUUCAAUGCAUGCUACGAUAUCAUCAAGGAAAGCAUAAGGAAAGGCAAUGCAUACUCAUCCUAUAAUGCAAUAAUACAAGAUGCAAGAAUCGACGUGUACUAAGACAUAGAAGGGAGCCCGAUUGCUUCGGGAUGGACACCACCCACCUCUUGGCGAUGCCGCGAUAGUAGAAAACUCGACGUUGCGGUCCUAGCACGUCGCUUCGGCUCCCCGGGGCGAAGCGAGCUCUCAAACACCCGAUUCGGCGAUUUCUCCGCACUCGCUCGUCGGAUCGGCAAACCGUCUUCGCCGACGCGUUUCGAGACCUAGCAAUUUGGUUUACGACCUAUUAAGAUAGAUCAAAACCCUAAAUUUUCCAAAAUCUCAAUCCGUGCCCUAGAAUGGCGACGAGAGGGAAAUCCAUGGUGCGAGCUUCGAUUUUGAGCUCGAACCAUCUAUUUAUUCCCAAUAGGUUCCAUUUGAACCAAUUCUAAACCAUAAAAACCCAAAACCCUAGAAUUUUCAUUAAAGGGUUGGAAGCUUACCUCUAACCUAAGCUUCAAGCUUGUCCUAGGUUGAAGGAGAAAGAGAAGAAGACCUUCUUCUUCUUCUUCUUGGACUUCUCCUUUUACUUCUUCCUCUUUUCCUUCUUCUCCUUCCUCUUCUUCUUCUCCUUCUUCUCUUUCUUUUCUUUUCUUUUCUUUUCUUUUCUUUCCUAGAGAGAGAAAAGAGUGAGAGAGAGAGAGAGGAAGAGAGCAACUGAGGGUAAGAGAGGGGUCCCCAAGCUCUAUUAAAGGCCAUUUUGCAAAUAGCCCCCUCAACUUUUCAUCUUUAGAAUCAGCCCUCUUUGGGCAUUUUCGCAGUGAGGGACUGGUCCCAGCUCGGGAAGACCGGUCCCCGAAGGCUGCCAUUCCGAGCAGAGGGAUUUUCGCGUUCGGGAACCGGUUCUUGCUUGAGAGACCGGUCCCCGGGAGACCGGUCCUUGCCCGAGAGACCGGUUCCCGAAAGGUGAGUUUUCGGGACUUAGCCAAAUUUCGGCUAUUUUCGCUGGGCCAACGUUCGGGAACCGGUCCCUCACCACCAGGGACCGGUCUCAUCAGAGACCCCCGCAGCCCAGCCUGAUGGAACCGGUCCCUCCCUGCCAGGGACCGGUCCCCGAGAGAAUUUCUGCUCCAGUGCAGAUUUUGCACUGGUGCUCCCGCGGACCCUUCCUUAAUGCACUUUAUGCAUUAUAAUCACCUUCGGACUCUCCGAAGCCUACGCACUCGACAACUAGUCGAUUCUGGCCGAAGUCUAAUCCUCGAGUUUCGAGAAUUCACUUCCUUACAUCCUUCCCACCUUAAAAGAGUUUCGUCCUCGAAACGAACUCAAUACUCCAAAAACUUGAUUAGAAUUUCAAAUUCUAAAUUCAUACCUCAAUUUACCCUUCGAACAGGCGAGGAUGAUUCGCCUUCAUCUCCUGCUCAAGCUCCCAGGUGGCUUCGCGAUCAUCAUGAUUGCUCCACCGGACUCGGACAUAAGGAAUUUCCCGAUUCCUUAACUUGCGCACUUCACGAGCGGUAAUUGCCACCGGGAAUUCCUCGUAGCUCAAGUCCUCCUGAAGUUCCGGCGGUUCAUAUAACAUCGCGUGCUCGGGAUCAGGGAUGUAUUUGCGAAGAUUGGAGACGUGGAAUACGUUGUGCACAUCCGCUAGCUUUGGCGGCAACGCGAGCCAAUAAGCCACCGUCCCAAUCCGCUCCAAGAUUUCAUAGGGGCCAAUAUAUCGGGGACUCAAUUUUCCCCGAACUCCGAAUCGCCUUACACUCCUCAUAGGCGAGACCUUCAAGAAGACACGGUUGCCCACCGUAAACUCUAGAUCUCGCCGGCGCCUAUCCGCAUAGCUCUGUUGUCGAGAUUGCGCCGUGAGUAACGGUUUGCGAGCAAGGCGGACCUUUUCUUCCGCCUUCCGCAGCACAUCGGGGCCAAAUUCCGUGCGCUCACCCACAUCACUCCAAUAAACGGAAGAGCGGCACUUCCGCCCAUAAAGAGCUUCGAACGGUGCCAUCUCCACACUAGCGUGAUAACUGUUGUUGUAGGCGAACUCGGCCAUCGGCAAAUAUUUAUACCAACCUCCUUUGUAAUCGAUGACACACGCUCGCAACAUAUCCUCCAGAGUCUGAAUGGUUCUUUCCGUUUGCCCAUCUGUCUGGGGAUGAAAUGCAGUGCUGAAAUCGAGCCGCGUGCCAAGGGCCUCCUACAGGCUUUUCCAAAAAUGCGAAGUAAACUUGGGGUCUCUAUCCGACACAAUCGACUUCGGCACCCCAUGCAACCUCAUUACCUCGUCUAGAUACACCUGCGCCAAUUUAUCUCCUACCCAGGUGGUGUGGAUCGGCAAAAAGUGUGCUGAUUUGGUCAAGCGAUCCACGAUCACCCAGAUUGCGUCGUGGCCCCCUGUCGAGCGAGGUAAGCCAACGAUGAAAUCCAUAGAUAUGUCCUCCCAUUUCCAGACGGGAAUAGGUAAACUUUGAAGCUUUCCCGCUGGAAACCGGCGCUCCGCCUUUACUUGCUGACAAGUCAAGCACUUUGCCACGAAGCGCCCAAUAUCAGCCUUCAUCCCCGGCCACCAAUAGAGUGCUCUUAGCUCAUGAUACAUCUUGGUGCCGCCCGGGUGAUCCGCGUACGGAGAUCGGUGAGCUUCUUGCAGAAUCAACUCGCGAAGCUCUUCAUUUUCGGGCACGCACCACCGGUUUCGAAACCGGAGCGCGCCACCAGCGUCCACACCGAAAUCACCAUCUCAUCCUUCCUCGAUGUUGCGCCGCACCUUUUGGAGACUUGGAUCUACAGAUUGCAAUUUCUUGAUCCUCUCCAAUAAGGUCGGUUGAAUAACGAGCGCCAUUAGCUGAGCCGGGACCUCGGGAGCGACCACUUCAAGGUCCAGUCGCUCCAUCUCCAGCCCUAGGGGUGUUUGCCGGGUAACAUCAAAAGCGAGGUUCUUCGCCGACUUUCUGCUAAGUGCGUCUGCAACCACAUUUGCUUUGCCGGGGUGGUAGAGAAUAUCGACAUCAUAGUCCUUUAAUAGUUCUAGCCACCGCCGCUGCCGCAUGUUUAGCUCCUUCUGGGUAAACAGGUACUUAAGACUUUUGUGGUCGGUGUAGAUCUCGCAGUGUGCACCGUACAGGUAGUGCCUCCACAACUUCAACGCAAAGAUCACCGCCGCCAAUUCCAAGUCAUGAAUAGGGUAAUUCUUCUCGUGAUCUUUCAGCUGACGGGAUGCAUAAGCUAUCACCCUCCCGCCUUGCAUCAGAACACACCCCAAGCCCAGAUAGGAUGCAUCGCUAUAAACCACAAAGUCCUCGCCCUGCACCGGUAAGGCGAGUAUUGGAGCCGACGUCAAUCUUUUCUUCAACUCGUUGAAGCUUUGGUCACAUUCGUCGCUCCAAAUAAACUUGACGCCCUUCUGAGUCAAACCGGUAAGUGGAGUUACGAUCUUCGAAAAGCCUUCCACGAACCGUCGAUAAUAGCCCGCUAAGCCCACGAAGCUUCGGACCUCCGUGACGUUCGUCGGGCGUGGCCAAUUUUCGACCGCUUCGACUUUCCUCGGGUCAACCGAAACACCACCCUCGGAAAUUACAUGCCCUAAAAAGGCAACCUCUCGAAGCCAGAAAUCACAUUUCUUUAGCUUCGCGAAUAGCUUCUCCUCCCGAAGGAUUUGAAGCACCGUCCGCAAAUGCUCCGCGUGCUCCUCGUCGCUCCGCGAAUAGACCAAGAUGUCGUCUAUGAAGACCACGACAAAUCGGUCCAAGCACGCCUUGAACACACGGUUCAUCAGGUCCAUGAAUGCAGCCGGGGCAUUAGUGAGCCCAAAAGGCAUAACCGUGUAUUCAGAGUGUCCAUAACGCGUACGAAACGCGGUCUUCUGAAUGUCCUCCGGCUUGAUCUUUAACUAAUGGUAGCCGGAUUGUAGGUCUAUCUUCGAGUACACUCGUGACCCUUGUAAUUGGUCGAACAAGUCAUCGAUUCGGGGCAACGGGUACUUAUUCUUUAUUGUGACCUUGUUCAACUCUCAAUAAUCCACGCAGAGUCGAAACGAGCCAUCCUUCUUGCGCACGAACAACACCGGCGCUCCCCACGGUGAUACGCUCGGCCUAAUCAACCCUUUGUCGAGAAGAUCUUGUAACUGAUCCCUCAGUUCUCUUAACUCUGCCGGCGCCAUGCGGUAUGGGGCCUUUGAGAUCGGCGCUGUCCCGGGAAUCAAGUCUAUAACAAACUCGAUCUCUCGAUCCGGCGGCAUCCCCGAUAACUCCGUGGGAAACACAUCCGGAAAUUCCCGCACCACCGAUAAAUCUUCUAAUUUCGACACCACUCGGUCCACCUCUACGACGGUCGCCAAAAAUGCCGCGCAACCGCCGCUGACCAACUUCCUAGCUCUCGUCGCUGAUACUGUCGCGACGAAGCAAGAACUCCGACAAGCUCGGUAAACGAACUCCCUCUGUCCGGGCUCCCGAAAGGUGAUCAAUUUAUUCUUACAAUCGAUCGUAGCAUAAUACUUCGAGAGCCAGUCCAUGCCUAAAAUAACGUCGUACGCCUCCAGUUUAGUGAGUUCCAACAUCCGGAUGGGCAUUAUCCAAUCACCCACUUGCACCGGACACGACGAACACUCCGUAUAGGUGUUAAAUGAUAACUCGGGACCCUCGACUCGCCACUUGCCACUUGCUUCUAUAGGUAUGUCAUGCAUGCGUGCAAAUGCUCUACUAAUAAAUGAAUGCGUGGCACCCGUAUCAAACAUAGCUCUGGAGCGAACUCCAUUGAUUAGAACCAUACCUGCCACCACAUCAGGCUCCUCAGCUAGGGCAGGCUCUUCGGCAUGGGCCUGAGCGGCGAAUACCCGUCCGCUCGGCGCUGAUCGAGUCACCUCCGGCUGACGCGGCGCCAAUGCGCGUCCUGCCGACACGGGGACAUAGGGGGCCCCUCCUUGAUAAGGCGGGGGCACCGGAGCCGAUGCGACUGACGGAGUAGACGAGGCCCUUGCCGGACAAUCGCGGCUAAUGUGUCCUUCUUGUCCGCAGUUAAAGCACCGUCCUUGUCGUUGCCUACACUGCGGUGCCCGAUGGCCUCGAUCUCCACAGAUAGGGCAACGCUGCGGCCCACGGCCCCACGACUGCGACCGCGGAUGCUUCGGGGGCCUCCUCGAACUCGACUGUCCACCCGAACCGCCGCCCGAUCGCUUCUUCCCCUUGUCUUGGGAUCCGGCCAACAACUCACGUUCCUCCCGCACGUGGGCGUCUCCAUGCUCCGCCCACAGCGCCUUGUUGAAGACCUCGGCGAAGGUCGUGAGCUGGAACAGUUGCACCGCCCUACAAAUCCACGGCCGAAGUCCUCGCAAGAACCACUCGGCUCGAUCCGCGUCGUCCUUGACCACGUCCGGGACGCAGUCUAUGAUGUGGGAGAACUCCUGCUCGUAGUCCGCCACCGAACGGUCUCCCUGUCUCAACUUGCGAAACCUUUCCUUCAACUUCCGCUGCUCGGUGUCGGGGAAGUAGUUUCCGAACAUCUCCUUCUUGAACUCGUCCCAGAGCAUUGGCGGAAGAUCAGAGGGUCGAUCCCGCUUCAACCGCUUCCACCACACCUUCGCCGCCUUGUCGAGGCAAUGGGUGGUGAAAGGCACCUUAUCUUUCUCCGGGGUGUAUAGGUCCUCGAAGAGAGUCUCUAUAGAGUCUAUCCAAGACUCCACCACCGACGGCUCCACUUUUCCCCCUUCAAAAGUUGGCGGUCUGAACUUCAUAAACUUCAUUAGGGCCGUCAGCGCACGCUCCCGCUCCACUUCGUCGGCCGUCGUUUCGAGUGUCGCCGAACCCGACGUUGUCGGAGGCGCACUUGUCGGCGGGGGAACCGCCGCCAUCGGAACCGCUGCUAUGCCCUCACCCUCGGCCGCUACCGGCGUGCGUGCCGAAGGUGCAGGAGGAUCGCGAUCUCCUGCCACCGUCGCGGCCGCCGCCGCUGCCGCUUGCCGCUCCACAACUUCCUGGAGUUGCUCGAACCGAGCCUCCUGGCGCUGCAUCGCGCCCAGCAUGGCAGCGACCUGCUCCCGCAGCUCCUGCACCUCCUCCGAUCUCGGCUGCUGGGGCUCCGCAGAAGGCGGUACCGGAGUUGACCUACGCGCAUAACGCCUUGGGGACAUUUGCUCCUGAAAAGCAACAACUCAGUUAGUUAUCUCAAUCCGAUAACUUCGCAACGUUCGCGAAAUUAAGCGAUUCGACAACGAAAUCGGGCGGAAGCUCUCAAGUGCUCCAGUUCUGGACUCUUAGCGUCGCGUCGUCGGCCGCCGACACAACCACUACGAGCCAAGAACUAGUGUCACUUGGAUCCGUCUCUAUUCACAGCUAGAGACACAACAUCAACUUUGACCCAAUCAAUCAACUCCCGCCACCGCCAUGGGUUCACGUUCACUCACGUCCCUAUAACCUUAGGGUUUGCCAACCAAGGGUCUCCUAGGUCAUCCUAGACUCUCUCUUUACUUGCUCUUAAUUGCUCUGAUACCACUUUAUCUGUCACGCCCCGAGACCGCUACCAAUUUGGUUCGGCUCCGGGCGCGUCGAACAGACGCCGAACGGACAGGACCUCUCCUGUCCGUCCAAGGCUAGCCAACAGAUCAUGUAUAAGAAUUUACCCAGGAAUCAAUUCAUAAAUACACGAUCAAAAGCACCACCAGUGCAACAAGACGAGAGCAAGAUACAAGUAUAAAACAUAUACAAGUACAUAAAGAGAGAAGAGGCUAUCUAUUACAUUCAUUUGACUUAAUACAUUCAAUUACAUCUUUCACAUUCUUCCGAAAUAUAGAUACACUCACUCCACCUCACCCUAUAUAACAUCUAAUCUCAAAUACAGAAAGGGUGAUGGCUAAUGCAAAAGGGAGGUAGCUAAUGCGAUUAAAGCGCCGGGCCCUUACAGCGAUCCUCGCGCUCACCGGGGACACCCGAACUCGAGCCUGUGGUAAAAAAAUGGGGGUGAGAACUAACUUCC